rnacentral:lncRNA from 1 species
UUAUAGGGUAUAAUGGAACUAACAUCAUUUAGCAAACCAUUCCCUUUCUACUUAACUGUUAUGCAGUGUGAUCAACAAAAGAUGAAUAGUUGUCUAUGUCUCUGUCUCUAUACCCAUAUUACAUUUCAUGUAUACCAAUAUUCUGCUGGCACUGAUUAUUCUGGAUUUUAGUAAGUUUUCAUAUUAGGAAGUGUAAAUCCCCAACAUUACACCUUUGAUCACUGCCUUAGAUAUUUUAGAACAUCUGGCUAUCUGAAAAACUUCGUUGAUUGAUUUUUUUCUUGCCUAUGAGCCAUAUUUCUACUUCUAUGUGGUACACAAUUAUGGAAACCUUAACAUGUAAAACAUGUAGCCACUUUAGAAAUUACAUUGUCUUCUUGUUAUGGUGGUUGUUGUUAACUCGAUUUACUGAAUGGAUUCUAUACUAUUUAUAUUCUUCAGUAUGUAAGGCUAUCUAAGUCUCUGCUCAAUUAACUCAUAUGUUUUUCCAGAAGGUCUCUGCCAUAGCCUUCAUUUUCUACUUGCACUGAACCUCUGAACUGGAGCAUGCUUGGGUAUUUCCUGGGCACUGAUAGAGACCUUUGCAUCUAUGUGGAUUUUGGAUUCCCAGGUAUAUCAGAACUGGUGAAGAGCUAUGGCUAGCUCCAUGUUGAGUUUUCUAUUGAAGCAUUUGGUCAGUCUAUUCUUUGCCUCAACUACCAUCCACUUGAUCAAAUACCUGAUGAGUUAAAGACUUAUUUGCAAAAUGUACUUAUUUCUAACAAUCGUCUUUGGUGCAGUAACUUUUUUCACUUAAAAUAUGACAGCUUGGAUCAAAUACAGUUUUGUGAAUGAGGUCUUACCCAUUUUCUGUUAGGAACCAUUAGCUAGGACACAUUGAGACUGAGGUUUCUGAAGGAACACUAGCACUCUUCAUCUCUUGGCCAUUUGGCUCCAGGUUGGACUCCAAGUGUCAGCUGCUUCUUUUCAAUGCUAUCAAGGAGUUAUAAAGAUCCUUAUUGGCGUCCCUCCUUGCUGUGGAUCACAUCGUGCUACUGGAACAGGAGCAGAG